GACGAACGCUGGCGGCGUGCUUAACACAUGCAAGUCGAACGAGUGGCGGACGGGUGAGUAAUGUCUGGGAAACUGCCUGAUGGAGGGGGAUAACUACUGGAAACGGUCGCUAAUACCGCAUACCAUCGGAUGUGCCCAGAUGGGAUUAGCUAGUAGGUGGGGUAAAGGCUCACCUAGGCGACGAUCCCUAGCUGGUCUGAGAGGAUGACCAGCCACACUGGAACGGAGACACGGUCCAGACUCCUACGGGAGGCAGCAGUGGGGAAUAUUGCACAAGGGGCGCAAGCCGGAUGCAGCCAUGCCGCGUGUAUGAAGAAGGCCUUCGGUUUGUAAAGUACGUUCAGCGGGGAGGCGUUACCCGCAGAAGAAGCACCGGCUAACUCCGUGCCAGCAGCCGCGGUAAUAC
rnacentral:rRNA from 1 species